GCGGCGGUUCGUUAACGCAGACAAAGACGCUGCCUCCAGAAGUAGACAAAGAAUAAUAUGAUUCUGAAUGGGAAUUGAUUCGGCUGAAGUUCUCCAUCUAAAAAAACAUGCCCAAGGUGAUCAUCAAAUCUCCAAUCUGCAAUCUCCAGGGCCGUAAAAUUGGAUGAUUUUGUUGUCCCAGAAGAUAAGGAAUCAUUCCUUUGUUUAAUUUAAGUCAGCGAUUGAUUAUAUGGAGGAGUUGUUUUUCCAAUGGUAUUAAAAAAAAACCUCUCGCUCUAUGUUUUGUAGAUUACAGGUUAAGAAAACAUCUACCUAGGUCCACACGGAGCUUCUCCUUCGCAGGUCCAAUAUGGUUACACAUCGACCUGCAGUGGCCGUCUAAGCUAAGCUGAAUGAAGCAGACCAGAAUUGAAUGUCUUUGGUCGAGAAAACAAAGCAGCGAAGGUUUGGUUUGUAUGCACGUCGAUGUCACUUUAGAAUUCAACUUGACAAAUAUCCCUGAUGUUGUUAGGAAUUAAUAUUAUGUGAUGGACAUGAAGCUGAUGUAUGGACUACUGCAGUUAUAUAGGGUAUAUUGCUAAGCGGAGUCCUACCUUAUGGUCAGGUAAUUGUGAUCGGUGUUUUACGUGUAAGCCCUUUUGUUUCUGUUCUUAAGGUUGGUUCAAAUUGGUUUUGUAAACUGGGAACGCAUGCUUAAUUUGUAAUCAUAGGAGUUCGAAACUGGUAAUGACCUGCAUU